UACAGAGGUCUCAAGCGUUGUUCGGAUUCAUUGGGCGUAAAGGGUGCGUAGGUGGCGCCGUAAGUCAGGUGUGAAAUCCCGGGGCUCAACCCCGGAACUGCAUUUGAUACUGCGGUGCUCGAGUACUGGAGAGGAGAUUGGAAUUUACGGUGUAGCAGUGAAAUGCGUAGAUAUCGUAAGGAAGACCAGUGGCGAAGGCGAAUCUCUGGACAGUUACUGACACUGAGGCACGAAGGCCAGGGGAGCAAACGGG
rnacentral:rRNA from 1 species